UCUCUUGUGACAAAUUCCAAUUUUCAUGUUUGACAGACUGAGGAAACUUGUAAACUUGGGGACUCAACUCUGAAGUUCUUUCUCCCCCUUCUUCUUCUCCUCCUCCCCCUCUUCCUAAUAAUUUAAUGAAAUGCAGGCUUCAUCCACUGAAAGGUUUGGGGUUUUAGUGUUCAAGGAGGAAGACCUAGAGAAAUUUUUUUUUUUUUUUUUUUUUUUUUUUUUUUGGCUAAUAGGCUUAUUAAGAUUGUUGUGUCAUAGACAGACAAGCAGCCAGCAGCAUGGCAGGCAGGGGAUCUAAGAAGAGUUAUGCCCACUCCAAGGAGAGUAGACAUUCCUUAUUGCAGAUUUUAUUGCAAGGUGGGUGGGAAGGGGGUCACCAGGGGGCAGUGAGCUAAUGAAAGUCACAGUGCUGGAUCAGCCUCUCUCUUGGCCUUCGUUACUGAGACUUGAUUAUGUUGGUGUGGGAGGCAGGGAUAUAGAGAAAUGAGUUGCUUUGGUUCUGGGAACCAAGUUCCUUCUGUUCCAUGAAGUGUUACAGUCCAACCAAAAUGGAGGAGCUUUGCAAACUGGUGUUGCCCUGGAAAACACCCACCCAGCUGUGGCAUGGGUCAAUGCGCAGAGAAAGCAAAAGUAGUGCUGCUUGGCAAACACGGUCGGCUGACAGAAGCCGACGGAUUGUGUUUCAUCCGCGCUUUGAGCAUCCAAGGGUGACAGAAAAUGAGAUGGUGUAAAAUGCUUCAUGUUAAUCAAAAUGCCUUUAAAUAAGGUGCCUUAAAACCCUCCAUCCAAGUACCGCUAUGGGUUUCUUUUCCAGGAACAUUGUUAAACAGGUGAACAUCGGCUAUGAGAUCUCUAGUAAGGCUGCAGUGCCUGCGGAAUGGCAGGCAUAUAUGCUUGUCAGAGAUCUCUGCUUUACAUUUCCUUUCUCCAUAACAGGACUAUAGGCAUUCCGGCCUGUGGCAAACGGUAACAGUCGGAAUCUGGGCAAGCUUUGGAAAGGAAGACACAAACCUCAUUUGUUUCCACUUAAGGCCCAGGCCUGAUUUCAAAAGGAAGGCCAUAAGGCUGGACCAGCUCCAGGGACAGACCAUAAAACCCAGCAACAAGGGUUUUAUUGAUGUCAGGCUGAUCUGAACUCACUCUGCAUCCCAGGCCAGUCUUGUACCCCUGAUGCUGCAGGUGCUACCUCCUCGGUGCUACGGCUAUAGGAGGAACAAUGAGCCACAGAGGAAAGCUCCUAUGGUGAUACUUUUUUCCAGGUGCCUAGCAACAAAUGAACUCUCUUCAGAAGAGUAGAUUUCAACUCAAGCCUUGAAGAAUUACAGCCCCCAGAUCUCCCCGCACAGCAGAGAAAUAGAUCAGGGAGCAGAACAGAACUGGGGAAAGGAAGACAUGCCGAAGAGGGAUCAGUUUAGCAGCCUAGAUACACUCAGACAUGAAGGCUAGGGAUAUCAAAUGUGGAGUAAAGUGUUUGCUAUGCAAAUAUGAGGUACUGAAUAUCCAGUCCUAGAAGCCUCCCAAAAGGCAGGCACAUGCCAUCCCUGUGUGGGGAGACAAGUGGACCUCUGGGGCCAGCUGUCCUAGCUUGAUAGGUGAGGCCCAGACGAGUCAAGGACACUAUCUCAACACAGCCAAUGUGAAUAGCCACUCAGGGAUGGCAUUUGAGACUGUCCUCUGACCUCCACACACAUGUACGCAUGCAUGUGCCCAUACACAUGCGUGGAAUUGCACACACACACACACACACACACACACACACACACACAUGUACACCGAGCAUUCAAAGUCACAGAGACUAUAGAUUCCAGCCAGGAAGUGAAGAACGAAUCAGAUGCAGCUGAACACACCUGUGGCUCUCGUGAAGAUUUGAAAGGUAAAGAGGAAUGGGGGGAAGGGCAAAGAGAAUAAACACACAGCCAACAGACGUGAAUUCUGUUUAAUACAAGCC
rnacentral:lncRNA from 1 species